rnacentral:rRNA from 1 species
UACGUAGGUGGCAAGCGUUGUCCGGAUUUAUUGGGGUGAAAGGGUGCGUAGGCGGCUUAAUAAGUCAGUGGUGAAAGCCGAUCGCUUAACGAUCGAACUGCCAUUGAUACUGCUAGGCUUGAGUAUAGUUGAGGUAGGCGGAAUUGACAGUGUAGCGGUGAAAUGCAUAGAUAUUGUCAAGAACACCAAUUGCGAAGGCAGCUUACUAAAGUAUAACUGACGCUGAGGCACGAAAGUGCGGGGAUCAAACAGG